CCCGCUCAGAAACUCAAAUGAAUUGACGGGGCCCGCACAAGCGGAGGAGCAUGUGGUUAAUUCGAUGAUACGCGAGGAACCUUACCUGGGCUCGAACGUAAGAUGACUGUAGGUGAAAGCUUACAUCUCUUCGGAGCAUUUUACGAGGUGCUGCAUGGUUGUCGUCAGCUCGUGCCGUGAGGUGUCGGGUUAAGUCCCAUAACGAGCGCAACCCCUACCUUUAGUUGCCAUCAGGUAAUGCUGGGGACUCUAAAGGAACUGCCUACGCAAGUAGUGAGGAAGGCGGGGAUGACGUCAAAUCAGCACGGCCCUUACGUCCAGGGCUACACACGUGCUACAAUGGCCGAUACAGAGGGCAGCUACCUGGUGACAGGAUGCAAAUCUCCAAAGUCGGUCUCAGUUCGGAUCGGAGUCUGCAACCCGACUCCGUGAAGUUGGAUUCGCUAGUAAUCGCGCAUCAGCCAUGGCGCGGUGAAUACGUUCCCGGGCCUU
rnacentral:rRNA from 1 species